UAAUACGAAGGGGGCUAGCGUUGCUCGGAAUUACUGGGCGUAAAGGGCGCGUAGGCGGACAUUUAAGUCAGGGGUGAAAUCCCAGAGCUCAACUCUGGAACUGCCUUUGAUACUGGGUGUCUUGAGUGUGAGAGAGGUAUGUGGAACUCCGAGUGUAGAGGUGAAAUUCGUAGAUAUUCGGAAGAACACCAGUGGCGAAGGCGACAUACUGGCUCAUUACUGACGCUGAGGCGCGAAAGCGUGGGGAGCAAACAGGAUUAGAUACCCUGGUAGUCCACGCCGUAAACGAUGAUUGCUAGUUGUCGGGCUGCAUGCAGUUCGGUGACGCAGCUAACGCAUUAAGCAAUCCGCCUGGGGAGUACGGUCGCAAGAUUA
rnacentral:rRNA from 1 species